GUGCCGCUAGUGCUAAAAGGUACAAACCACAAUUAGAAGAUAUCAAGAGUUCAUAUUUACUUUUAAAUAAAAAGAACGUCAUUAAUAGAAAUAUUGAUGUCAUAAGCAAUGAUUGCAAAAAUCAUGCAAUACCAAAGCCGGAACCAUUGAAUGAAAUAAAAAGGCGACAACAAUUAAUAAGAGCGAGAGAGAAGUACAAGAGUAAAAAAUACUGGAAUGAGUCGAAAUAUAAAUGCAUUGAAGGUCUCAAUUGGAUAUCAUGGAAAUAAAACAAC